GACGAACGCUGGCGGCGUGCCUAAUACAUGCAAGUCGAGCGCAGGAAGCCGUCUGAACCCUUCGGGGGGACGACGGUGGAAUGAGCGGCGGACGGGUGAGUAACACGUAAAGAACCUGCCCAUAGGUCUGGGAUAACCACGAGAAAUCGGGGCUAAUACCGGAUGUGUCAUCGGACCGCAUGGUCCGCUGAUGAAAGGCGCUCCGGCGUCGCCCAUGGAUGGCUCUGCGGUGCAUUAGCUAGUUGGUGGGGUAACGGCCCACCAAGGCGACGAUGAAUAGCCGACCUGAGAGGGUGAUCGGCCACGCUGGGACUGAGACACGGCCCAGACUCCUACGGGAGGCAGCAGUAGGGAAUCUUCCACAAUGGACGAAAGUCUGAUGGAGCAACGCCGCGUGAACGAUGAAGGCUUUCGGGUCGUAAAGUUCUGUUGUAAGGGAAGAACAAGUGCCGCAGGCAAUGGCGGCACCUUGACGGUACCUUGCGAGAAAGCCACGGCUAACUACGUGCCAGCCGCCGCCGUAA
rnacentral:rRNA from 1 species